UGGAGAUCUGCUCCUCUGGAGUCUUGUAGUGAGUCCAGGUUAUGGGGAGGAUGUAUUAGGGCAGCUCCAUAAGCCAGCAGAGAUGUGCAUUUGGGAAUCUGAUGGCAGAAACCACUGGUGCUCCCUUUAAGCUGUAAGUGGAGACAGAUAACAAACUCAAGAAGGGAAGGAAGGGCACUGUCAAGUGUUCAAACCCAGCUUGUGAACCAGAAGGAAAGGGAGGAGGGACUGCCCCAUACCCGUUCUGCCUGCUUCAGCAACAAGAGGCCAUGGAGGAAGGCAGGCUGUACCUUAGUUCUGAUCCUUUUAAAGGACUUAUACACAGAACAGGCCAUCCUCAGGCCCUGAAAGGUUUUUACUUUGCUGCACUGCAAUAUAUAGGCUAGCAAGCCCCUUGGCUUCCACCCAAGAAGAGUUGUGCUUUUAGGCUCACGACAGCCUCCUCCAGCUUGCUCUGUUCCCAUCAAACCUGCAGUGCGGAGCUGAAAAAGUGCUUUAUUUCUUCUCCUAACAGUGUCUCCAUGUCUGUGAGAAGGGAAGAUACAGAAUUCUUGCUUGAUAUGAAAUUCAGCACCUCAAAGAAGUCACACUUCUUGUCAUACUUGUCCUCCUCUUUUUACACCUCUGCCUUUAGUGAGCCCAUAAGCACUCAGUUUUACCAAGCUUUUGAGCAUCCAUGCCGUCCCACAUGGCUCUUGCUUUCCAGGAGACAAGAAACACCUCUCCUACCCCUCCUUUUCCAGGGGCAACUGUUAUCAGAGACAAGUUGGAAGCUACCUGUUACUUCUGUUCAUCCAUCUGAAGAAUCACCUCCUGCAACUGAGCCUUAAAAGGUGUCUUUUCAGUUCAGGCACUUCCCUGGACAUCAAGCUGAAAUCACAUUGGAAAAUGAAGGAUCUCUAUUCAAACCUGUAUCUUUCCAGAGCUCCUCAGAAUUUCCAGCUGACUUCCACGCUUGCUGACAGACACUGCAGUCUGCUUUGUACAGCCUAACUUGUUUUCCUCUCACUAGGUUAUGUUUGCUCAGCGUGGGCUGAGCACUCUGCACUGUGCUUCCACGUUAAAAAAAACAGGGUCACUUUUAAGUUCUGACAGUUAUAUUUUGCCCUUUUGAAGUAGCCUCGCUUUCUGAAUAUUCUGAGCUCUUUUAUCAAGGCAGCAGGCUUGACCUCUGCAUUCCCUGGCUACUUGCAGGCAUCCGGGGCCGGAUCUAGGGUGUAGCCAACAUGUGUUGCAGACACGGUCUUCUUGGCUCUGAGAAGAGUCAGUUCCUGCUUAUUUGGUCUGAAUCUGAAUAAAAUGUAUUUAACUCCCCUUGCCUCUUAAUUCUCUCAAUAGUAUCUGUAGCAAGAGGGGAUAGUUGAGCUUAAGCUUGUCUUGUGCACCCCUCUCUGUUACUGAGUGGGUAGCUGUAGGACUAGUUCUAUUGCUGCAAGUGCUGUUUCUAACUUGCUUUGCAUAUUUUUACAAGCAACUGUGCAAUUGCUGGUCAGGAUAUCAGCAACCUUCCUGGAGGUUGCUGGAGGAACAUCUAUGGUACAUUUCCAGAAAGGCUCCAGAAUAUGAUCCACAUCUUUCUUAUCAUCCCAGAUAGUUGGUGUGCCCGAGUGUGAAAUGCUGUUUACUGUCCAGUAUUAAAAUUCUGACUUGGGUAUCCCAGAUCCUUCCUUUCCUUCUGGAGAGGUUCUCUCUCUUUCCUUUCAACUCAGAGAAUCUCCUUUCACCCGAUGCUUCCCCUUCAGCACAUUUCCAUCUGCCCCUGUAACAAAAAUAAUGCAACAUUUUGAGCCCACUCUGCUUUUGGAGGAGAAAAAGAUAACCCUUGUUUCUCUCUGUCUUUGACUCUCUACAUACUCGCUCAUUUGGCUCCUUACGUUAGUCUCACGUUAGGGAGACUUUCCAUAAAAACAAACAAUUCUUGAGCUUCCGCCUUUUCCUGCUAACAGUCUCCUCUGUUCUAAAGCCUCAGAACCUCCCACAGAACCUUAUCCUUCAGAAAGGCCAUGUCUUCAGCAUCAGUCCCAUCAAAAUUAUGGAGCAAUAUGAUAUCUCUUUAUGUCAUUUUUCUCAGUAUUUGUAAAAGCUUGUUCUCUUUCUUCUUUGGCAUGCAAGAAAGAGUCUUUCAACAAAUUCUGUAUCCUACAGUCUUUGCCCAGGCUUCUUCCCUAAGCUGCUCAUCAGUGCUGACUUUCGUAUCUUUCUGAAGGAAGUUAUGACCAGGGACAAACGUUUUGACUGAGAUUUCCAGGACUGGUCUUUGUUCAUGUGUGGGAUAAAGAAUCACUGUAGCCUACCAAAAAGAAAUCUGCUGUGCAAAUGAUUCCUAAACAGGUCAAUUUUGGUUGAUCCACCCAAAUAUAUUAGUUGCCAAAGAGCUAUAUGAAAAAAUAGAAGGCUGGUGCAUAUGGCAUACUAAAGGAAGAAGAGGAUACAAGUAGCUGUAAGACAAAUUUAACACAUAUGCUAUCAUUUAAAGCCCUCUCACAGUUUACCAGGAGAUCAACGAGCA